rnacentral:lncRNA from 1 species
GAAGUUUCAACUAACUUAGCAUGUACAAUGCUUUUUAACAUGUCUUCAAAUGUGGCAUUGGGCAAUGAUUAACUAAAUCAUGCCGUAUUGUCCUCAAAUGAUCUUUUACACUUAGAUCUUGAGGAGAAGGUCGCUUGUGAACUCAAAACAUAAGUUCGUGCAGGAAAUCAGAUUUCCGCGCAGCAUGACCUUCAAUUACUAGAACAGUCGUAACUUCCUCUAGAAAAUACAUAUGAACGAACGGUAAACGGUUUUGGAAACUAGACUCAUUUAGCUUUCCAACCGUAUAUUACACACAUUCUGGUUCAUCAGGAGCUGUUCACAAAGUCCCGUCGAAGUUGACUGUUUUGCCAAAAUCAGAUUCUCGGACAGAUUCGUCAUACUUUACGAAAACGACCAUAACUCACUCAAUAUGAUAGGUAUGAUCAAAUGGUUGGUGUCUCUGGAAAGUAGACACAUAGACCUUUCCAUUGGUACCAAUUUCACCAUUUUCCAGUGAGUGAGAUUUCUUAUAGGUCCCGUGGAAGUUGACCUACAAAACUUGGCAGAUUCUGAUUUCGCUUUUGAUGUGUCUUUCUUAUGUAGGGAUAGAAUAAGCCUCAACCUUUCAUACCAUUAAGUAUUGAAAAAGGAGUCACUGUCAUUACAUUGGCGUUGCGUGGGCGCAUAGCUACACUUAGCUUUACAACUUUUCAUAGCAAAUGAGAUGUCAAGUCUUUCGUAUUGUGUUGAGUACAUUGAUGCGUCUAAUUGUACUUAGAUGGGAACUCCAUCUCUUAACACAUAUUUGUCAUCUUACUUUAGACAAAACAACGGAUCUCUCUUUAGAGCAAGCAAAGACCUUGACUAAUCAUGGGAGUAUAUGUAGGCCUCACUAGUUAUAGAGCGCCUAAGCCGAUUGAUGGAAAAUCAUCAUCAAUACAGUCAUCGAGUGCCUUAUCGAGACCAUGUCUUCCCAAGAUCUUUUUCUUCGGAUGUUGAUACAUAUUGGCAUCUCUUGAUCCAUCAAGAGUCCAUGUAAAUCCGGAAUGAACACACAAAGGCAUAAUUCACCGUAUCCCUUCCAAAUCAAGUAAAGUCCAUGUGCGUUUCAAUACAUUUAGCAAACGCAUGCUCCUGUGGUUUGGAGCCACUUGAUUCGGAUGAAUGAAGUUCGUUUAAGAUCUUUAUGUAUAUCUCUGAUCCCGUAGAGAUGUUAUUAUGACCACAUUCAUAGGCUGCAUGUUCAGUUAUUCGGAAACUACCAAACUGACAAAGUAGUGGAGUUCAAUGACAUCCAUUACGAGAGCAUAUCUCAUCGUAGUUGAUCUCAGUGCGUGUUAGUGAGAGACCUUGCACCAUAAGGUGAGUCUAAGCUCUUGUUCUCACUACACUAUCUAACAAAGGUAUAGUUGAUAGGGUUUAGCUUGCGGUGUCGGCAUCACCUGCCCAAGGACUUAUCUCUUUGUUAAUGCUGGAUCGCAUCUUUCCAUUAGGCCAAUCAACUAAGUUGAUAUCCAUCAACGAAGGGUGGUUCGAUAGUAGACUUAUUAUCUCACGUCCUCAUGUACACUAGUGUAAUACUUGUAGAGAUCUCUAUAUGGAUUGUAUUUGACAUUGAGGCGUCCCUCAACGAUAAUCACAAUUCAGACUUCAUGAGACGGAUUUGAGUAUCACUGAUCAAUAGAUCAGGUUGUGACAAGCUCGCUUUCUUUCUAGUGCAAGACAAUAUCGAACCUAAGGGUCUCCCUCAUUUUAGGGAGCCACACGGCCUUGUGACACCAAUUUUUGCCACUAUAUGGCGUCACCAUAUCACCAUCCAUGGUGAUGGCGUCAAGACCAACACUUUUUGGUCGCGCCAUGUCCUUUUGUAGAACAUCAAUCCUUGCAGACAUAUUUGCAGCAUGUGAUCUCGUCACUUUAACACUAUAAGCAUUUGGGAUCAAGAUGAGACUUAGUGGGAACAAACCACGACAAUUCACGUCGUUCCACUUGAACACUUGUGUUCUUAUCUCCCCCUAACGGCGGGAAUAUUGUCUCAUCAAAGUGACAAUCCGCAAUUUAGCGGUGAAUGAGAUCGCCUGACAAGGUUCCUACAUAUGCGGAUUAUAGGUGGAGGUUCACAUCCAACCUAAAUACUUAUUCAUCUCAAAUGACCCAUCAUUGUGCGCAGUGGCAGUGCGAUUUGGCACCUAGAAUAAACAUCUAGCUGAGCUCAAGGAUUGGAGAUCCGUUUCAAUCUUGUUUGAGCUCAAGGAUUGCAAUCCUGGUACAUAGUCACGAGCUGUAGUACAAAAAUAUUCAAUG